rnacentral:rRNA from 1 species
GAUGAACGCUGGCGGCGUGCUUAACACAUGCAAGUCGAACGGAAAGGCCCAAGCUUGCUUGGGUACUCGAGUGGCGAACGGGUGAGUAACACGUGGGUGAUCUGCCCUGCACUUCGGGAUAAGCCUGGGAAACUGGGUCUAAUACCGGAUAGGACGAUGGUUUGGAUGCCAUUGUGGAAAGUUUUUUCGGUGUGGGAUGAGCUCGCGGCCUAUCAGCUUGUUGGUGGGGUAAUGGCCUACCAAGGCGUCGACGGGUAGCCGGCCUGAGAGGGUGUACGGCCACAUUGGGACUGAGAUACGGCCCAGACUCCUACGGGAGGCAGCAGUGGGGAAUAUUGCACAAUGGGCGCAAGCCUGAUGCAGCGACGCCGCGUGGGGGAUGACGGCCUUCGAGUUGUAAACUCCUUUCGCUAGGGACGAAGCGUUUUUGUGACGGUACCUGGAGAAGAAGCACCGGCUAACUACGUG